AAAACUAAAAUAAAUAGUAAAAAAAAAAAACAGACCAUUAUAUUAUUAUCAUCUACCACCGACUACAUAAUAUAGGUAUAUAUAUACAUGUACACACGUAGUGAUGAUUUUAUUACGUGUGGCACCCCCACGCGCGUUCGCCAAUUUCAGAAAUUAACGCUCAUGGGGAUGGGGGCCCUCCCAUCACGAGCUGAUGCGUCUCGGAAUUUUUCCGACUUUUACCAAUCCAAUUAGGACGGUGAAGGAUUGUCGGGUCACCACAGGAGGUUGGCCGGUUACCUUCAUAUAUAUAAUGCGGACGACGAUUGUCUCUUCGUCUCAUCGUCCAUAAAGCAGGGUGCGCCCGACCACCCCCUCGGAGACGUUUUUACUUCGAAACACAAUAAUAAAUUUAGCGGCCUUUUAUACCCGUCGACUCUGCAAUGUCCCAAUACUCAUCUAUAUAAGUUAUUAUAAUAUAUUAUGUACAUAAACAAGCCCGCCUGUAGGUUAGGUACUACUGAAGUACCGCCGUACGCGCGCUUACAAGAUAUUGUAUUGUAUAUUUUGUUGUAGUGUUUUGCACCGUCUGGGUGGGGCCAUGUGUAUUUAACUUAUAUAUAUAUAUCAUACGGCUAUACCGCAUACCAGCAACAUACCACGAACACGGUUACGCGCACCACGUGCACCGCGGGUCGAAUCGGACGAAAAUGAUACGGAUAAUAUAUAGGUAUGUAUGUAAUAUUUUUUGUAAGACGCGUACUAUGCGCCCAUCAGCCUCACCCACGCGUACCUAUAAUAAUAUAUAAACAGACACGACCGAUUCGGUCGAUUACCCUCGAUUACACGAGGUCGAUUACGCCGAUGCGUUCUCACCCGAUCUCGUAUAUAAUUCGAUAAUCGUCUCAACAAUAAUAGUACGUUAACAUCAAAGUAACACUCGGUUAAAAUGUAUGUUAAGACCACUAAUAUAAAUUGGUAAGUGUUCACCAUAUUGCACAAUGUGGGGCCCGUUCAAAUGGCAAGGUCGUAGGUACACGACGUUUUUUAGUCGUAGAUCGUAACAUUUCCAUGCUAUUUGUAAAACAGGAUUUGAACGUUUAUUGGAAUCAGAGUUUUUAAACGAACAAAGGGAAGAUUUUCAAAAAAAAAAAUGUGCAAGUAUUUAUACUAUAAUAUAUUAUAUAAACUGAUAAACAUAACAAUUCUUAAGCUGAACUAAGACGUGUUAAAUUUAUUGAAAAAUCAAAAGGCAUAUUAUAUUAUACAGUAUUACAUACUAUACGUCUAUUCAUGACACAAUUUGGAUAACAUUGAAAUGAGUCUCCAGGCUACUUUUAGGUGUUUUACUUGAGUCCAAUUUAUUAUCUUAGUAUAUUUGAAUUGAGUCCGUUGAACCUUGGGCGGCGUGCGAUACUCAGCGAUAAGGUAUAUAUUCGUCAACGGAUCGGUGGUCUAUUAUGCUCGUUCAAAAUUACCGCGAUUGUGCCGAAUACUUUGCGAACACAUAAUUUAUCACGAGUGCGAAAUCAUAAAGAAUUAAAUUUAUUUGAAGAAAAUUAAAAUGUAAUAGAAAAAUUUUCACAUUUUUGUUUGAUUAAUUUUAUUUCAUAUAAUUUGAAAUUGUCACCACAUUAUGAUCAGCACCUCGGGUAACUUCCCCGGAUUUUUCCUCCUGAUCCAGUGCCCUUGAACAUGAUAUUGACCAACAAUAAUUUAUAUUACAUUUAAAUUAAUAAAAUAAAUAAUGCAAAAAAUAAUAGCUAAUUAUAGUCAAUUUAGUAGGUACCAAAUCGAUAUUGCUGGUGGCUUGAUGUGGCGCGGUCUGUACUCUCAACUGCGGACAUUUUCUGAGUGUACGUAUCGGUGAGUGUUGCUAGCUCCCGGAUGGGUGACCACCUCCGUGAUUUUUAGCUACAAAUCCUUGUCACACAAACAGACGUCUUUCAGCCGACCAUUCCUCUCCCCCCCCCCCUACAAACAAAAACAGCUAAUGGCCAUAGUUUCCGGGCUUAAGCUCAAUAAAAAAAAAAAAUAAAUAAAUAAUCGACAGUGACGUCCAACAACAAACAUUGUGACUGGGCGCGUUUUCUCCGCGGGAUCUCGACACAAAGUUUAAGCGUUUCCUUCUGCUCAGUGGCGGCGGUAAACAAUAUAUAAAUCAACGAUAUGUAUAUAGAUCCCAACGACGACGUUUGCACGCGCUCAUUUUGUGGAAAGCAAUAUUUUAGUCAGCCGAGCGGAACGCGAAAACGGUCGUGAUUGAUGACCUAGACCGUACAUCGUCAGCGGAAUAAAUAAAAACAAACAUCUUGCGAUCCCUUUGAUUGAACAGUGUGACGGAGAUAGACGGUACGUUUCGAUAUAAACACACACAUAUAUAUAUGUGCAUUGUGCAUCGUUUAUACAUUAUACGUGUGUAGUGCAGGGUAAAAAUUCGAAAAGUUUCGCCGAUUUAUAUAUAUAUAUCGACCUACCCGGCUAAUCUGGUCAUUUCGUUAACGUAUUUCUCUGUCGAUUCCCAAAUGUCGGUUUAGUGCGGUAUGUAUAUCGUGUAUAAUGCAUACUACGGAUAAAAAAAAAAAAUAAUAAAAACAAAUUCGUUCCAUUGUCGCGAAUGAAACUUUUAUACGGAUUCAUAAUACGAUUUUGAAGGGAUGACAAAUGAUAAAUCGAAACGAUCCCCUACAGUCACCGGAAGUCAAACUUCCUGGUAGUCCAACCGUCCCACCCCCACGCGGACAAUGAAACCUUUAGACAUCGUCUGCGCGUAACGUUUUUGGGGAACUUUUGAUAAAACGGAUCAACUCAACCCGUCGACGAUGUUUGACAACCAAAACAUAGCUAUACCAUAAUAUUAUAAUGUACAUAGUACAUACCUGCAAAUAUGACUAUUGGUAUAACCUAUGACGUAUCUGAUCAAACGCAUAUUUUGACGUAAAAUACAAAUUUUACAAUUUCGACGUAAUAUGUAAUAUGUGUAUCAAGUAAAAACCAUGAACAUAAAUACCGCAAAAUUCCACACCGACAACGACUAUAUAGGCUAAAAGCGUAUAGUUUUAUUUAUACUUUACAUGGGGGUAGACAUAGUUACAUUCAGUACUGAGUAUAGGUUCUGAAUGUUGUACUGUUAAAAGACGAAUUUUUAUUAUUAUAAUUAUAAGUUGAAUUGAAGUGAAUUUCUAGAGUUAUCUACCUACUAUCUGGCAAAAAAAUCUGUUUUACGUCUCAUAAUUACUAAUAACGAUACUAUUGCAUUACCUUUUUUAUUUUCUCAACCUCUGAACGGGAUAUAUACUUAUUGAAAUACCAUUAACUAUAUAUCGUUUCGAUUUCAGUUUUGACCGAACCCACUGCUCGAGUCCGUAAAAUAAAACCCAUAUAAUUUGAGGUUUUCAAAAAUGUACUUGAACGCUCCUAGAGACGUAAUCGGGGGCGGAAUUCAGUGCGUAUCCAUUAUAAUAACAACAAUAACGAUAAAUACGUCCUUUUGAAAAUACAAUAUUUAUUAUUUUUAGUACCCUUUAGCAUCAGAGUGACCUAAAUAAUAGUAUUACGAGAACAAUGCGUGGAUUACUUUGGUUUUACAAACUGCAGCUAAUAAUCAAUUAUCACACCGGGAUAUUAUACUUAUCUAGAUACAUGUAGACAAUUUACUGUCGUUUUUAUGUUUUUAUUCUCCUAUUACGUCGGUGCGCAUACCUUCUAAUUAUUUAGUCCUUUUAUUAUUUAUUAGUUAAAAUACACAUAUAUAUAUAUAUAUACAUAUGUGUGUGUGUGUGUGCGUAUGUUUUUUUAGAUGUUACUCUCCCACGUCUUUAUCUGGUCCGGACCGUCGUCUUCGUCGUAAUAACAGUAAUAACAGAACGGAAUCCCAACAGAACGGGAUGUCAGAAAGUAUAUGGUCCGUUCGCAGCAGCUAUAGCACCUGUACGCUUACCUGGCCGUCAAUGGGUUUCAUUGCAACACACACAUACUCAACACUCGACAUUCAAAACUCAUGAACACGUUACGAUGAUAAUUUACCCUUCUCUGGCGGAAACGGGAUGAAAAAAUCCCAAAAUCUCAACCCCCCCUCAUGAUCACGGAAUUGCAUCCAGAACGUUUCGUGGUAAGAAUACCAUUACAUACAUUACAAUCGUAUGCCGCCACCUAGCCUCAUCGAGUCAGCCAUCGUCGCGGGAAAUGCACAGUUUUCAUUUUCACCACGCAUACGGUUUUCACUAUUUACUUGUAAUUUCUUAACAAACAUACAUUCCUAUUCUUAUCAAAGGCACAAUAUAUUAUCAGAUUUUAAUUUUUAAAUAAAUAUUUAGAUGUAUAUUUAAAGGUAACUAGUACUAUAUUUAGGUGGCUUCUUCCCUCGCGAUUUUCAUGUACAUAACUUAUUAAAUUAGUUCGCAUAUUUUCAUCGUUUUCGAAUAUUGCGUCGGAUAAAAGUUACUUAAGUUCCAAAUAUAAUAUUAAUAUGAUAUAGAGAGUUGUUGAGUAUAUGAACCAAUUAUAAUUGUAAUAUUAUACUGUUUUUGCAAUAAUCACAAUAGAGGCUAGAGAGAUAUUAUUGUGCGAUUUGUUAUGUGCUACCGAAUAUACGACGACAAGAAGUGAAGAUAGUUUAAUUCGACGACAAACUGCUCAAAAAAGUUCUUAUACAACAACAAUAAUAACGACUUUAUAACAAAACAAUACAAUUAUUGUACAAACAAAUACGAUAUGUACACGAGGAUCACAAAACAUCCCUUAUACUUUUACAGUUUUACCCAAACAAGUAUUAAAGCUGAGUAUCACGUACUAUGACAUAUUAUAUUAUAUUAUUAUAAUAAUUUUACAAUUCCUCAAAGUAAUAAGACUGAUCGUGAAAACUCGAUAUAUUUAUAUGGUAUAAGUAUACAAAUUUAAUCAUGUUUCGAAUGAAUAAUAAACGCGAGUCGUAAUAAUAUAAUCACGAUUGAUCACUUAUAGUCGCACGAUUUAUGUACGUAGAUGGUAUACGGCUUUCGAAAAUGUCAAUUCACGUACAUUCUUGGCCGGAACGAGAUUAUUCAUUUUUAAUAAAUCGUCCAAAUAGCAUCGAAAAACGAACGUGACCCACGACGAUUAAUACUGUUGAUUUUCGCAAACCUCGUUCAGUUUUCACAAUAAUACGUCUUGUUGUCUAUUGUCAUGCUAUAUUCGCAGUAAGCAUCAAACUUUUUUGACAGCACCCGUCUCGCCCAAGAAUGCAGCACGCGAUUCACGUCAUACAGGUAGUCGUACGAAAAACCGGAUCGGGCCCAUCAUGUGUAGUUGCGACGACGACCGAUCGUAACAGAGCAAAAACGGUAAAAAAAAAAAUAAAUAUAAAUAAAAAAAUAUAAAACAGAAAUAACACUAUCGUGUCAUAUUAUUAUAGAAGAAACGGCGUCGAAGACGACUGCUAGCCACUGCAGCUAUAUUCUGAUACUAAUGGCAAGCAUACAUAUAGGUAUAUGUAAAAGUGUAUGUGUACAGGUAUAUAUUAUUAUUAUUUAUUUUUUUUUUUGGAGAGCUGAAAGC